rnacentral:rRNA from 1 species
GAACGGCAGCGCGGGGCAACCUGGCGGCGAGUGGCGAACGGGUGAGUAAUAUAUCGGAACGUACCCUGGAGUGGGGGAUAACGUAGCGAAAGUUACGCUAAUACCGCAUACGAUCUAAGGAUGAAAGUGGGGGAUCGCAAGACCUCAUGCUCCUGGAGCGGCCGAUAUCUGAUUAGCUAGUUGGUUAGGGUAAAAGCCUACCAAGGUAUCGAUCAGUAGCUGGUCUGAGAGGACGACCAGCCACACUGGAACUGAGACACGGUCCAGACUCCUACGGGAGGCAGCAGUGGGGAAUUUUGGACAAUGGGCGCAAGCCUGAUCCAGCAAUGCCGCGUGAGUGAAGAAGGCCUUCGGGUUGUAAAGCUCUUUUGUCAGGGAAGAAACGGUGAGGGCUAAUAUUCCUUUGCUAAUGACGGUACCUGAAGAACCAAGUUUGCGUG